rnacentral:rRNA from 1 species
UACGUAGGGUGCGAGCGUUGUCCGGAAUUACUGGGCGUAAAGAGCUCGUAGGUGGUUUGUCGCGUUGUCCGUGAAAACUCACAACUCAAUUGUGGGCGUGCGGGCGAUACGGGCAGACUGGAGUACUGCAGGGGAGACUGGAAUUCCUGGUGUAGCGGUGAAAUGCGCAGAUAUCAAGGAGGAACACCGGUGGCGAAGGCGGGUCUCUGGGCAACAACUGACGCUGAGGAGCGAAAGCGUGGGGAGCGAACAGG